rnacentral:tRNA from 1 species
GCGUCCGUAGCUCAGUUGGAUAGAGUAACGGACUUCGAAUCCGUAGGCCGCCCGUUCGAGCCGGGCCGGACGCA